CUGCGCAGCCUCGUCCCUGGCGCUUUGAUGUGCUUACUGGUUGCGUGACGCACGCGCGGGAAUCGAGGUGCGUUGCUCACUACGGGACGCGGAAGCGCCUCGCAGAAAACGUGCCGAUUUCUGAAAUUUCUGUCGAUUUCUGAACUUUCAAAGCCAUUGUUCGAUUUUCUUGAUUAUUUUGCUUUAUUCACGACGGAAUCAUGGACGAGAUCAGUGAAUCUCUUCACAAUAUUUCCUUUGAAGGUAAAUUUGUAUGAAUUUGUGUCAUUAUAUAUUUCAAUAUGAUUUAUUGUCUUGUUGACUGCUAUAAUUUUAUAAUUUUAAUAUUAUGUGAACCAAAUAUUUAUAUGAAAAUCAUUCUGAUCAACGUGUUCGUAGGGUUUUAAGGCUAUGUAUGAUUUCGGAGUACUUUAUACUGUACACUUAUAUUUAUUUAGUAUUAGUAAAUUUUCCCUGACAAAUUUUGAGUGAUAUCUUUGCCAGGUUCUUUGUAGCAGUUAAUAUUUAUAAUUACUGUGUAGUUGUAUUAUUAAAUUGUCAAUUCAUGAUAGACAAGUGAAAAAAGGUUUUGCUAGGCCAAAGAUAUCAGAUUCAAACCAUCAAUACCCAUUGCAAUCAAGCAAUUACCAUAAACAUAUAACCCCCAACAUAUAACAUAUGUAUAAUCCCUGUUGUAGGCUUUAAAGUUGGUUUCAAACUAGGGCUUAUAAAUGCCAGAACUCAUAUGUGAAAAAUUGCACGAGUCAAUUUAUCUGACAUACCAUAAUGAAACCCAUUUAAUAGGUUGCAUUGCACUCUACUUUAUUAUGUUAAUUUGUCUAAGUGUCUAACACCAACAAUUUUACUCGUCAACAGGAGAGUGCUGGCACUCAAUGGGUUAACAUAUAAAUGUCUACCUGAACAGUUGGGUUUGGGUUCUACUCUAAAGUAAAUUUCCCUGUAAUCAGAUUGUGGGAUAUGUGACUCAAUAUUUCUUCAAAGUGUGUUCUAAUGAUACGUACUGUCACUAUUUUAUAAGCAUAAUGGACAUUUCUCAUUCAGGGUGAUGUAAGUCAUGUGGACAAGAGAUUAAUACAAGUUCUUUUGAAUGUUCAAAUCGCAAGAGUAGUGGUGUAGUGGUACACUAGCACUUGCCAGACCUAAUUGGCAGAACUAACAAUGACUUUUCUCUAUAACUUUGUGGAUCAAAACCUGGAACAGC